rnacentral:misc_RNA from 1 species
UUUCCGUAGGUGAACCUGCGGAAGGAUCAUUACCGAGUUAGGGUUGCCUUCUAGGUGCCCGACCUCCCAACCCCGUGUCUAAUAAACCUGUACGUGUUGCUUCGGCGGACCGGUUCGCUGCGUGGUCUCGCGACCACAACGCUUGCCGCCGGGGGUAAAGGAGUUCACCCUCCCCCCCCCCUGGAGAGCGUCCGUCGAUGGCCCAACCAAACAAACUCCCAAACCAAAAUGUAUGUGAAACACAAUUCUGAAUCAGACCUUUUGAUAUACCAAUCAAAAACAAAACUUUCAACAACGGAUCUCUUGGUUCUGGCAUCGAUGAAGAACGCAGC